UUAUCGCUCUCGGCCUUUUGGCUCAGAUCAAGUGUAGUAUCUGUUCUUAUCAGUUUAAUAUCCGAUACGUCCCCCAUCGGGGGACUACAUAUUAAAUGGAUUUUUCGAACAGGGAGUCGGAAAUGGGGCUUGCUCCGUCCGCUCCACGCAUCGACCCGGUAUUGCAGUACCUCCGGGAAUGGUGCAACACUU
rnacentral:snRNA from 1 species